AUGUUAAUAUGUAAAAUAAGUAGUUAUUGGAGAAAAAGAAAUUUUGUUUAUUACAAAAAUUAUUCAUAACAUACAAGAAAUUGAGCAAAUUUUGAAGAAAUUAGAACAUUUUUUUCUUUGUAAAACAGGUAAUAAAAACAGGGUUACAAAUUGUCACGGUUUUGUAAUUAAAAGAAUAUACAGAGUGGGAGAGACAAUGAGAUGUGUGGUUUGUAAAAAAAGUUG